AUACGGAGGGUGCAAGCGUUACUCGGAAUCACUGGGCGUAAAGCGCGCGCAGGCGGUCUUUUAAGUUGGAUGUGAAAGCCUACGGCUCAACCGUAGAACUGCAUCCAAAACUAUUAGACUAGAGUGUGGGAGAGGAAGAUGGAAUUAGUUGUGUAGGGGUAAAAUCCGUAGAGAUAACUAGGAAUACCAAAAGCGAAGGCAAUCUUCUGGAACACUACUGACGCUGAGGCGCGAACGCGUGGGGAGCAAACAGGAUUAGAAACCCCGGUAGUCC
rnacentral:rRNA from 1 species